UACGAAGGGUGCAAGCGUUACUCGGAAUUACUGGGCGUAAAGCGUGCGCAGGCGGUGAUGUAAGACAGGUGUGAAAUCCCGGGCUUAACCUGGGAACUGCAUUUGUGACUGCAUCGCUGGAGUGCGGGCAGAGGGGGAUGGAAUUCCGCGUGUAGCAGUGAAAUGCGUAGAUAUCGGGAGGAACACCUGUGGCGAAAGCGGCUCACUGGACCAUAACUGACGCUGAGGAGGCGAAAGCGUGGGGAGCGAACAGG
rnacentral:rRNA from 1 species